UAAAUCAACAUAAUUCCUAAAUAGAAUUUGAAUCUUCCUCCAUGGCAUCAUUAGUAGUUAUCAUCAUUUGAGAUUGAUAGCACUUCAAUUUUAAUAUAUGUUGGUGCAGGUCCUGCCUUAAAUGUAAAUUUUUUUAGCCAAGAGUAGUAACAAAUAAAAUGCUCUAUUCAACUAUUCAAGAUUACCCCGGUAUAUCAUAUUCUGCCAUUUCUAAGGUACUCAUAACUUUAACUUCAUUGAAUCCAAAAUAACUAUAAAUGGAAUAGAAAAG
rnacentral:misc_RNA from 1 species